AGAGUUUGAUCCUGGCUCAGAUUGAACGCUGGCGGCAGGCCUAACACAUGCAAGUCGAGCGGAUGAGAAGAGCUUGCUCUUCGAUUCAGCGGCGGACGGGUGAGUAAUGCCUAGGAAUCUGCCUGGUAGUGGGGGACAACGUUUCGAAAGGAACGCUAAUACCGCAUACGUCCUACGGGAGAAAGCAGGGGACCUUCGGGCCUUGCGCUAUCAGAUGAGCCUAGGUCGGAUUAGCUAGUUGGUGGGGUAAUGGCUCACCAAGGCGACGAUCCGUAACUGGUCUGAGAGGAUGAUCAGUCACACUGGAACUGAGACACGGUCCAGACUCCUACGGGAGGCAGCAGUGGGGAAUAUUGGACAAUGGGCGAAAGCCUGAUCCAGCCAUGCCGCGUGUGUGAAGAAGGUCUUCGGAUUGUAAAGCACUUUAAGUUGGGAGGAAGGGCAGUAAGCGAAUACCUUGCUGUUUUGACGUUACCGACAGAAUAAGCACCGGCUAACUCUGUGCCAGCAGCCGCGGUAAUAC
rnacentral:rRNA from 4 species